rnacentral:tRNA from 1 species
AGUUUUGUAUUCUAUCAGUGAUUUUAAAUUGCAAAUUUAAAGGAAUAAUUUUUAUAUUAUUAAAACUU